CAAGGAAUUUUCGUCAAUGGGGGCAACCCUGAACGAGCAACGCCGCGUGGGCGAAGAAGUCCUUCGGGAUGUAAAGCCCUUUUCCCUGUGAAGAAAGAAAGACGGUAACAGGGGAAUAAGCAUCGGCUAACUACGUGCCAGCAGCCGCGGUAAUACGUAGGAUGCAAGCGUUGUCCGGAAUUAUUGGGCGUAAAGAGCGCGCAGGCGGUGUGCCAAGUCAGAUGUGAAAUAUCCCGGCUUAACCGGGAGGGGUCAUUUGAAACUGGUAGACUAGAGUACAGCAGAGGAUAGCGGAAUUCCCGGUGUAGUGGUGAAAUGCGUAGAUAUCGGGAGGAACACCAGUGGCGAAGGCGGCUAUCUGGGCUGAAACUGACGCUGAGGCGCGAAGGCUAGGGGAGCAAACAGGAUUAGAUACCCUGGUAGUCCUAGCAGUAAACGAUGGAUACUAGGUGUUGGGGGAAAUUGACCCCCUCAGUGCCGCAGUCAACACAAUAAGUAUCCCGCCUGGGGAGUACGGUCGCAAGA
rnacentral:rRNA from 1 species